GGGCGGUUAGCUCAGUGGUUAGAGCGCUGCGUUGACAUCGCAGAGGUCACUGGUUCAAGUCCAGUACUGCCCA
rnacentral:tRNA from 3 species